CAUGUUAUGAGCAAGACACAGCAAUAGACAAGUUCUACAGAGAAGAAGAAAGAAAGCUGAAAGAAAGAAAGCGGUGUGUGGCAACACAAACAAGUUGAGGCAUAGCUAUCAAGAAAAUAGCUUAACAUUCCUGAGAAAUGGGCUCAUUGCUUUCGUGAUGCCUGCUACCAUGCUAAAGUUGAAACAGAUAAUGGGACUGAGUCUCAAAACAAACUCCUAAAAUACUCUUACCUUCCGAGAAAGAAAGACAUGACUCUCAGCAGCAUAGCAGAUGUUGCCAGAUGCAAGGGAGAAGUAUCUGUUUCUAAAUUACAAAGCUAGCUCUGACUACAGGUCUUACAACCAAGGUGUUCCUAACUACUUGCACAACAGACCGGCCAAAACCGUGACUCACUGCUUAGAGAGAAAAUCUAAGGCAUUGAGAUUCUUUGCUGAAGAUGUCUUCACUGAGGAUUUACAAAGUGGACACUUUCAGGUGCAAUCAAAGUCCAAACAAGACAUGUGGUAUCUGGAGGAAGUCUUCAGUGGCGUACUGCAAAUUUUUCGACAUUAGGGUAAUCUAUCCUAAAGCGUCAAGUUACCGACAUACCAACCUCCAACAAGUAUAAGUAUAUAGCUUACAUCAUUUCAAACAAUCAAAAUACCUCUUAUGCACAAACAAUGUCUAUGAUUAGAUGCAGACUAAGUUUUGCCCUAUUACGAUCGGCAAUUCUGUAUGUUCGAGGGACAGGAUCAAAACUACAUUGUCUGCUCAAAUUACACAUGAUGGACACUGUGCAGAGUGAGGCUCCUCUCGAGCUCACUCACUAAGUCUUUUUCUUGUUGUACUUUUUACUUGACAUAGGUUUUUUAUGUUGCAAUGAAUACCAGUAUAUGUAUGGUAUGUUCUACAACUGUACUAUAUUAUUAUAUGAAUAAUAUAUACUACAUUUUUUAACUAUUUAGAUGGCAUUUCUUACAUU